rnacentral:rRNA from 1 species
AACUCUUGGCAGUGGAUCACUCGGCUCAUGUGUCGAUGCAGACCGCAGUUAACUGUUUGAAUAAAUGUGCAUCGGAGCACGCUUAGAAUAUCGACGUUUGGAUGCAAAUUGCAGCCAUUAGCCUGUCUGUGGCUACGUCUGGCCGAGGAUUG